AGGUUGUGUUCCCAACCUUCUGUACAAGAAGUUUGAAAGAGGAUGAGCAAAGGUGUUUGGGGAACAUCGGCUAAACCUCUUCCCUGCCUGCAGCCACUCCUCUGUCGUGGGCAGGGUCAGCAAUGCUGCUGCUCACCCUAUGUCCUCUUGUUGCCUUGCAGAGGCGGCCAGCCAGUGAGCAGAGAGGAAGAACUGUGCCAGCAGGCAGGAGAUAGAACAGCCCGGCCUAGCCAGGAGAGACUGCAGGGACUCACUCAGCUGCUGGCCCCAAGUCAAAAUUUACAUUAAAGGGGAGAGCCCAGUCUGGGUGUGGGAAUGCAGCAUUGAGUUUGUGGUCAGGGUAUUGCUGGACAUCUUCACUGGGGUGCGGCUUUACUUGCCACCCUCCACACCAGACUUCAGCCGUCUCAGACGCUACUUUGUGGCAUUCGACGGGGACC
rnacentral:sRNA from 1 species